AGAGUUUGAUCAUGGCUCAGAACGAACGCUGGCGGCAGGCUUAACACAUGCAAGUCGAGCGCUGUAGCAAUACAGAGCGGCGCACGGGUGAGUAACACGUGGGAACGUGCCCUAUGGUUCGGAAUAACUCAGGGAAACUUGAGCUAAUACCGGAUAAGCCCUUACGGGGAAAGAUUUAUCGCCAUUGGAGCGGCCCGCGUCCGAUUAGCUUGUUGGUGAGGUAAAAGCUCACCAAGGCGACGAUCGGUAGCUGGUCUGAGAGGACGACCAGCCACACUGGGACUGAGACACGGCCCAGACUCCUACGGGAGGCAGCAGUGGGGAAUCUUGGACAAUGGGGGAAACCCUGAUCCAGCCAUGCCGCGUGAGUGAUGAAGGCCCUAGGGUUGUAAAACUCUUUCGGCGGGGACGAUAAUGACGGUACCCGCAGAAGAAGCUCCGGCUAACUUCGUGCCAGCAGCCGCGGUAAUACGAAGGGGGCUAGCGUUGUUCGGAAUUACUGGGCGUAAAGCGCGCGCAGGCGGUCCUUCAAGUCAGAGGUGAAAGCCCAGAGCUCAACUCUGGAACGGCCUUUGAGACUAGAGGACUUGGGUACGGGAGAGGUGAGUGGAAUUCCGAGUGUAGAGGUGAAAUUCGUAGAUAUUCGGAAGAACACCAGUGGCGAAGGCGGCUCACUGGCCCGUUACCGACGCUCAGGCGCGACAGCGUGGGGAGCAAACAGGAUUAGAUACCCUAGUAGUCC
rnacentral:rRNA from 1 species